AAUAAUUCAAUUUAUAAAUAUCUAAAAUAAUAAUAUAAAAUUAAAUUAUUUUACCUACGCCACCCCUAUCCAACCCAAACUUCCAAACCCAAACAUCAUUCCCCUCUUAUCCUCCCUCUCUAUUUUUUUCUCUUUAUUAAAAUUCGUCACCGUCGCCUAACCAUCACCUCAACCACCACAUUAUCACCACUUGCACCACCACUAGUACCCCGUCCCUUCCACAGAUCGCUUCAUUCACAUAUCGUUUCCAUCAUCGCUAUUGCUGCUUAUUAAUUAUGGCAAAUUGGCUCUGUGCAUCUGCGUGCAUCAGCACAGUGCAGUGAGCAUCGUUGUGCCACUGAGAGCAUCGGCAUCGCGAUUUUUACGUGGUGGUUUCUUCCUUUAUGUGCAAUUAUGUUUGUGGGUCGUUGAUGGAGUUUGUUGGCAAUUUUUCUGAUCCGAUCUACUGUGGGGGGUUUGUUGGUGGUUGGUUUUCUGAUCAAGUCUACUGUUUAGCCGGAGUUUUGAGGUGGUUGUUA
rnacentral:lncRNA from 1 species